UGGUAUUAUUCUAAAAGCAAUCACAACAUAUUCUAGAAAAUUAGACUGUACAAUACUGUUGCUAGUUUGGUUUAUCCAAUAUAAAUGCAAAUUAAAGUUGCAAAUUAGUGUUAUACCUUUUGUUGCAUGCAUCACUUAUUUCUUGAUAAAUGCCUUCCAUUUCCACUACUGUUUGGGAAACUAUAGACAAUCUCCAACAUGUUCUGUCCAUUGUUGUUUCUUGUCUCCACCAUACAGAUUCCACACCAUAAUUUUCUGAGCCAGUAUCUUUAUAUUAUCUAUUCUAUUCCUUUUCAAACAAUGGUUCCCCAACUCCUUUCUCUUUUUUUUUUCUUCUGACCUUCCUAAGUAAUGAAUACCCCUGGAUGACUAAUUCCCAUCUUUGGUCAUCCUGCAGCCAUAUCUCAGUAAUUGCAACUAUAUCAUAAACACUAUUUCUAAUUGCUAAUUUAUCUGUCUUAUUGUGAGUGCAAGACCACCCAAUACAGGCUGACAGUAUGAAAAUGUGAGGAGAACCAUAACUACAGGGAGUGAAGAUAGAGACACUACUGAUCAUGAUAACAGAUAAAUCGGAGAAUUAUAAUAGAAGGCUAGAGGAAGUUGCAGUGGCAUUUCUCAGGUGACAAUUUCAAAGUCUGUAGUUGUCACUAAGCUUGGAAGAAUUGUAAGCCGUGGAGGAAGAUUGUAUUGGAAUCCCAAAGGAUACAGACUGGUUGGAGUGGGUGGAUAAGAGGCAGGAUGAAAAAAUUCACCAAGGAAAUAUUUUUGAAAUCACCUAAAGAAACAGGCUAUGUAGAAAGGAGCUUUGAAAAUUAAACAACUGUGUUUAUGGAUUGAAUGAUGCAAUGAGAUUAUGGUAUUUCUCAGUUAGAUCCAUCUUACUGAAAGUAGGUGGCAUUCAGCUUAAAGCAGAUCCAUUAAUGUUCUACUACAAUUACAGAGAAGCUGAUAGGCAUCUUUGUGGUGCAUGUGGAUUAUUUUCUGUUGGGAGGUCCUAUGGACGUUUAUCAAUAUGUACUGCAUAAAAAGGGAAUUUAAAGUUGGAAGUUGAGUUUAACCGCAGUCUUACUUGGAAUGUAUUAAUCAUGACCUUAUGUUGGACUACUCCUCAUUGAAACAUGGCUUUGCAUUGAGGGAAGAAACAGAUCUGUUCAGAAAUUUGUUUGGAUGGUUAACAACAAGUUGCAAAGUCAGCUAUGAUGUAUUUGAAUUGAGUACUGCAUUGAAACAUGCUACUGGACAAAAUUUUGAGAGGAAACAAAACAUCAAAGGAAUUAAAUUCUGAAAAAUAUACACAUAAGUUCCUAGCCAUAUCUUUUAGAAAAUAUGAAGCUUGUCCUUUUCAAUAAUGCUUCACAUGCUUUCAUAUGCUGUUCAAAUAUAUCUUUGAUGGAAAUGAUUAUAGUGUUGUCUGGUGACUGGGAAGCCAAGAAAAUAAAAAAGUAGUUGAAAGUACAUCAGCUGCUGAAACUAGUAGAAGGUAUAUCGGUUAUAGUUAUGCAAUAUUCUAAAUACAAAGAGCAAUCUGAGAAAAGUUGCAUGUAGAAUGUUAUGUUUAUAACCAUUCUCUUUGGGACACUGUACAUUUGACAAAGGGUGAGACUGAGAAUAGGUUGCAUAAAUGUGUGUUUUGUUUUAAAAAGAAAGUUUCUAAAAUGAAGUGGAUUGACUUAAAUUAUUAUAGAGUCUUAGAGAUGUAAAGCACGGAAACAGAUCCUUCAGUCCAACUCCUCCAUUCUGACCAGAUAUCCCAA